rnacentral:misc_RNA from 1 species
AACGCAAAUUGCACUUUCUGGUAUUCCGGAAAGUAUGCCUGUUUGAGGGUCAGUUAAAUAAAAAUCGGUGUUGCUGCUACCCGUAGUGGUGUUAAUGCAUCGGAAUUGAGUUGUCUUUACCUUUUUUGGUUUAAGUGACUUAAAAUUAUGUACGAUUUUUGAACGUAUUUAAAUUAUUUACGUAUGUUCAUAAUAUCAAAUAUUAGAUGCGGUCAUCCUCAUGAUUCACAUCUAUAAUUUUUCAUUAUUUGACCUCAAAUCAGGUAAGAGUACCCGCUGAACUUAA